AGUGGGCCAACAGUAGCUCAAAGAAGUAUUCUAGGCUUGCGCAGAGCGGCUGUGCACAUGUUCCUAUUCUGAUGUUUGCUGGUUGUGGAGAUGGCAGAGAUGGAGACACAGAGUGCCACAAUGGUGGCUGGCGGGCGAAGAAGCGACAGGCUGAUCAGCUGUCCUCCGCGGGCGAGGAUGGAAGUGCUGUGCACGUGGACAUAGAAGAGGGCCGGCAGGCCAAGAGGCUUGUCUUUCCUCCCCUCGCUGGGGAUGGAUUCCUGAGUGGGAAAGAAGAAACAUGGAAAAUUUCAGUCCCAGCUAAUAGAUACACACUCUUAAAAGAAAACUGGAUGAAGAUAUUUACUCCUGUUGUAGAACAUUUGGGGCUUCAGAUAUGCUUUAACUUGAAAUCAAGAAAUGUAGAAAUCAGAACUUGUAAGGAAACCAAGGAUGUUAGUGCUCUGAUAAAAGCAGCUGAUUUUAUGAAGGCCUUUUAUUCUUGGGUUUCAAGUGGAGGAUGCACUUGCCCUCAUCAGGCUGGAUGAUCUCUUUCUAGAGACUUUUAAAAUUACAGAUGUUAAGCCCCUCAAAGGAGACCAUUUGUCAAGGGCAAUAGGAAGAAUCGCUGGCAAAGGAGGAAAAACCAAAUUCACCAUAGAGAACAUGACACGGACACGGGUAGUUUUGGCUGAUGUGAAAGUUCACAUCCUUGGAUCCAAAACAUCAAAAUAGCAAGAACUGGCAUUUGCAAUCUCAUCCUGGGAAAUCCGCCAUCAAAGGUUUAUGGAAAUAUUCGAGCUGUGGCUGGCAGAUCAGCAAAGCGAUUUUUAUUUCAUAUCAGAGACUUUUUAUCUUU